CCUACGGGUGGCAGCAGUGGGGAAUAUUGGAUAAUGGGGGCAACCCUGAUCCAGCCAUGCCGCGUGUGUGAAGAAGGCCCUCGGGUUGUAAAGCACUUUCAGUGAGGAAGAACGCCUGGUGGUUAAUACCCAUCAGGAAAGACAUCACUCACAGAAGAAGCACCGGCUAACUCCGUGCCAGCAGCCGCGGUAAUACGGAGGGUGCGAGCGUUAAUCGGAAUUACUGGGCGUAAAGCGCGCGUAGGUGGCUUGAUAAGCCGGUUGUGAAAGCCCCGGGCUCAACCUGGGAACGGCAUCCGGAACUGUCAAGCUAGAGUGCAGGAGAGGAAGGUAGAAUUCCCGGUGUAGCGGUGAAAUGCGUAGAGAUCGGGAGGAAUACCAGUGGCGAAGGCGGCCUUCUGGACUGACACUGACACUGAGGUGCGAAAGCGUGGGUAGCAAACAGGAUUAGAUACCCCAGUAGUC
rnacentral:rRNA from 1 species